CUUUUUAGGGCUGUACCUACAGCAUAUGGAGGUUCCCAGACAAGGGGUCAAAUGGGAGCUACAGCUGCCAGCCUACACCACAGCCACAGCAACACCAGAUCCUAGCAGCAUCUGCAACCUACACCACGGCUCAUGGCAAUGCCAGAUCCUUAGCCCACUGAGCAAGGCCAGGGAUUGAACCCGCAUCCUCAUGGAUCCUAGUCGGGUUUGUAUGCAGUAUGUCGAAAACCUUCUCUUCCUCGGAUGGUAGCACCCUAUCUGACCUGAGACAUUCAGGAAGGGAAGCUCUCCUUCCCAGGGAAGGGAGCGCCUUCCAUCUGGCUCAGCAGGUCAGGUGCAAGGCACAGUCAAGUUGAAGCAGCAACAAUGCGACACCAGAGCUCUUACCUGUGAUCCACUCCACCCAGGCACCCUUCCAAACGAAAAACAACAACAGCCGAGGGUCUGUUAGCCCUUCCCCAGAGCCAGCACUGGGCUUUAUCUCCUGAACCACAUGAAAGAGACCUAGAGAGGACACUAGGAAGGGAAAUGAGGCAGCAGAGAUGCCUUAAUAGAGGGAGGGGAACUUGUACACACAAGCCAGGCUGGUUCAAAGGAGGCGGUAACUGAACACGUAAAGGAAAACCAUCCUUGACGAAGGUGGGUGACAAGGGCGGGUGACUUAAGACACAGGGUCAGGAUUGGGGAAUCACCCACAGACUCGAAACAAAGAGAAGAACCAAAAGAAAGGGAAAAAAAAAGUCUUUUUAUAUCUGUCUGGCCAGAUACUGCUACUAAAUACAUUUCUCAAAAAAAGCAGUGUGAUGAAAAUAUACACUAGUCCCUGAUAGCAAAUUUCCUGAAACUCUUUCUCAAGUUAACUCCCCGAAUCCCUUGUCAUUUCAUGGUCUCUUAAAAAUACUCGAGCAGCUCACCGUUUAAGUCUCUGCCUCCGAGCUGGCUUCCAUCACUCAGAGCAACAAGAGAGCUGUUUAUCACCAAGCCCAACGUCUCCCUGCCCCCAACAUGCCCAGACUUGAAAACAGGGACCCAAGCUUUUAAAGUGACUGUCCUUAAACCGAACACAGCUGGAAGAGAGGGAAAGAGAACCACUCUCCUCUUCUGGAGCCAGGCUCACAGUGACAUCAUUAAAAUAUCUGUUGACGUGCAGACAUCCUUAAAGACUCGGCCAAAACCCAGAGGAUAGAAACUGAGGCACAUCCUUUAAGGGAGAUGGAUGUAGACACCGACGGCUCCGAGCACUGAGCUGGCCGCUGGUGCCUUUCAAGCAUCUCCUGAUUGUCCCUCCUCUCCUCACCUUCCUCCCUAGCUGGCUGCCCCCACUGAGGCCGGGACAGUUAUGAAGCUUGUUUCAAUAAAUAAAUCUUUGCCGCUACCCCUCCUGGAGCAUGAUGCAUGCAGAACUGGCCGCAGGAGAAGCAGCUAGACUGCAGAUCUAAGUGUGUGCAUUCGGAGCCCGCCCACACUGGAGCCCAUCUGAGACCCCCGUGUUCCCGGGAAACAGACAAGUCUCCCCGACAGCGUGCUAUGUCAGUUCCGUCUGCCUCGAGGUGGGUGCUGAUGCUUUGGGGGCCCCAAGGGUCUUCUGACAAGGGAAAGGUCAGCUUAGGGGAGUCUGGCACCAGCCUUGCCAGCGAGGACAGCCAAUGUCAGCAACCACCCUGGGACCUUGGAACAGCCACCUCCCAGGGCUCUAGAUCACCAGGGAACUCAUCAGAAAAGCAAAUUCUCAGGACUCCCCACCACUGGCAGACACUCUGGGGUGGGACCAGUCACCUGGGUUCGAAGGAGCCCUCCAGGGAACACUGAUGCCCAGCCCAGCUAGGGGGUGUGCCCGUAUGGGGCCCGCUGGCCCGUGGCACAGGAGGGCUGGGGCCAAGAAGCAGCAAAGCAGGUGGUGCUCACCGAUGUGCCUCUGUGACCCCCGUGGCACCCCCGCCAGGACCGCCAGAGCAGCUGGGGCAUGUUCUUGCCACCCUUCCAAAGUCCAGCGCCUGCUGCACAGCUUGGCUGAUAAGAGGUCCCCAGAAUGAACGACAUCCCAGCUCCACUCUCUAUCCAUGACUUUCCAUUAUGCUCCUCAAAUCUCACAGCAUAAUAAAAGUUUACAGCUCUGUUUAUGCAUUUUCAGAUACAUCUUAAUGAAGAGGCAGUGGCCUGGUUAGGUGGGUGGAGAGCAGAGAGUCAGAAGUCAGGCAGGCUGAGUGGGAAUCCACAUCCACCCUUGGCCAGCUCUGCAACCUGAGGCAGCCUAAGCCGCUAUGUCCGCGCAUCCCCUUGGAAGCCAGUGAUCACUAAAGAAAUAUAUUGCCUUCUGUGCUUCUAAGAAAUUAAAUGCUUAACAUAUAUCAGAAAUACACUGAAUACUAACACCCGCCCCCAAAGUUAUUUUGCAUGGCAAUUUAACCUCUAGAAUUCAAAACCCAUUCUGAAACAUUUGUAACAUGUACCAGUAUUCCAAUUAUAGGUAACCAAAUCUGGCUUUAGCAUUCUAAAAUUGUUAGAGUCCGUGAAAUAUUACAGUAUUCCUUAUCACUAGAGAUUAUACUCUUCCCAGUAACGAAUAAUCAUUACCACUAUUAUUAUUCCAGGUUGUUUCCACUAUAUCUUCUUAGCUAACUCAACUUAGGAAAACACAGACUCAAACUGGCUUAAGUCAUGAAAGUACAGACCUAUACUCUCCAAUAUGGAGCCACUAGCUUCAUGGGCCCCCAAACCCCCAAAUGUAAGAAACAUGCCAGCUUCCAAAGAUGUCACGCAAAGAAAAGCAUGUGAAUUAGCUCAUUAAUAAGGCUGCAUGUUGAAUACGUGGAAAUGAAAAUACUUUUGCUCUACUGGGUAAAAGAAUAUAUUGGGAAAAUUUCACUUCUUGUUUGUUUUUGUUUUUGAUGUCUCUAAUGUGGCUACUAGAACUUUAAAACCCAAUCUGCGGCUCGCGUUCUAUUUCAGAGGAACAGCACUGCUCCUGACAAUCUCUUCAAGGGGUGUCUGCAAGACACGCUCCACACUAAAACACACAGUAUUUUCCACACCAGCCUAUUCUCCUUCCGUAAGCCUCAGGCACAGUCCUGGGGUACAAAGCUGUAUGUGUGUUAUGAUGCUUUUAUGACAAAGGUAACGCUGAAUCCACCCCAAAGUAUAGAAGUCUCUAAAAAAUAAGCUGACGAGGAGUCCCCGUUGUAACUCAGCAGUAACGAUCCCAACUAGCAUCCAUGAGGGCACAGGUUCAACCCGUGCCCCUGCUCAGUGGGUUAAAGAUCCAGCGUUGCUGUGAGCUCGGGUGUAGAUCGCAGACAUGGCUCGGAUCCUGCGUUGCUGUUGUUGUGGUGUAAGUCGCCGGCUGUAGCUCUGAUUAGACCCCUAGCCUGGAAACUUUUAUAUGGCAAGAAUGUGGCCCUAAAAAGACCAAAAAAAAAAAAAAA
rnacentral:lncRNA from 1 species